UUUUGACCCGUCUUGAAACACGGACCAAGGAGUCUAACAUGUGCGCAAGUCAUUGGGUCUUGUUUAGGCCCAUAGGCGAAAUGAAAGUGAAGGUUUUGUCUUCCCUUCGGGGAUGAGCAUUUACCGAGUUGGGAUCUCGAUUACUUUUUGUGAUUGGGCGCACCAACGGCCCGUUUCAGCCGCUAUGUCGGCGAAUCGGAGCUAGAGCGUACACGUUGGGACCCGAAAGAUGGUGAACUAUGCCUGGGCAGGACGAAGCCAGAGGAAACUCUGGUGGAGGUCCGCAGCGAUUCUGACGUGCAAAUCGAUCGUCAGACCUGGGUAUAGGGGCGAAAGACUAAUCGAACCAUCUAGUAGCUGGUUCCUUCCGAA
rnacentral:rRNA from 1 species